UACGGGGGGAGCAAGCGUUGUUCGGAUUUACUGGGCGUAAAGAGCGCGCAGGCGGCUGGUCAAGUCCGAUGUGAAAUCUCCCGGCUUAACUGGGAAACUGCAUUGGAAACUGAUCGGCUUGAAGGUGGGAGAGGGUAGUGGAAUUCCCGGUGUAGUGGUGAAAUGCGUAGAUAUCGGGAGGAACACCAGUGGCGAAGGCGACUACCUGGCCCAUUCUUGACGCUGAGGCGCGAAAGCUAGGGGAGCGAACGGG
rnacentral:rRNA from 1 species